rnacentral:rRNA from 1 species
CAGCAGCCGCGGUAAUACCAGCAGCCCAAGUGGUGGUCGCGAUUAUUGGGCCUAAAGCGCUCGUAGCCGGGCCGGUAAGUCCCUUGUGAAAUCGGACGGCCUAACCGUUCGGCGUGCAAGGGAUACUGUCGGUCUUGAGGCCGGGAGACGUCCGAGGUACUCCGGGGGUAGCGGUGAAAUGUUCUGAUCCUCGGGGGACCACCGGUGGCGAAGGCGUUCGACGAGAACGGGCCUAACGGUGAGGGGCGUAGGCUAGGGGAGCAAACGGGAUUAGAUACCCCAGUAGUCCCUGUCUCUUAUU